CCUACGGGAGGCAGCAGUAAGGAAUAUUGGUCAAUGGACGCAAGUCUGAACCAGCCAUGCCGCGUGAAGGAUUAAGGCCCUCUGGGUUGUAAACUUCUUUUAUAGGGGACGAAAAAAGGGCAUUCUUGCUCACUUGACGGUACCCUAGGAAUAAGCACCGGCUAACUCCGUGCCAGCAGCCGCGGUAAUACGGAGGGUGCAAGCGUUAUCCGGAUUUACUGGGUUUAAAGGGUGCGUAGGUGGGUUGGUAAGUCAGUGGUGAAAUCUUCGAGCUUAACUCGGAAACUGCCAUUGAUACUAUCAAUCUUGAAUCAUCUAGAGGUAAGCGGAAUAUGUCAUGUAGCGGUGAAAUGCUUAGAUAUGACAUAGAACACCAAUUGCGAAGGCAGCUUACUAUGGAUGCAUUGACACUGAGGCACGAAAGCGUGGGGAUCAAACAGGAUUAGAUACCCUGGUAGUCCACGCCCUAAACGAUGGAUACUCGACAUUUGUGAUAUACAAUAAGUGUNUGAGAGAAGACGAUUAAGUAUACCACCGUACGGUAAGGUACGACCGACGAAGUUAGUUAAACGUUAAAGGUAAGUUAGUUACGGCGUGAGAGNGACGACGGACGACGACGAGGGAGGAGG
rnacentral:rRNA from 1 species